UUCCGGUUGAUCCCGCCGGAGGUCACUGCUAUCGGGGUUCGAUUAAGCCAUGCGAGUCGAGAGGGUUCAGACCCUCGGCGGACUGCUCAGUAACACGUGGAUAAUCUGCCCUAUGGUGGAGGAUAACCCCGGGAAAGUGGGGAUAAUACUCCAUAAGUCAGGAGUACUGGAAUGUCUCCUAACUGAAAGUUUCGGCGCCAUAGGAUGAAUCUGCGGCCGAUUAGGUAGUUGUUGGGGUAACGGCCCAACAAGCCCGUAAUCGGUACGGGUUGUGGGAGCAAGAGCCCGGAGAUGGAAUCUGAGACACGAUUCCAGGCCCUACGGGGCGCAGCAGGCGCGAAAACUUUACAAUGCAGGAAACUGUGAUAAGGGAACCCCGAGUGCCCGUACACGCGGGCUGUCCCGGUGUUUAAAACACAUCGGAAGAAAGGGCCGGGCAAGACCGGUGCCAGCCGCCGCGGUAAUACCGGCGGCUCGAGUGGUGACCACUUUUAUUGGGCUUAAAGCGUUCGUAGCUUGAUUUUUAAGUCUCUUGGGAAAUCUCACGGCUUAACUGUGAGGCGUCUAAGAGAUACUGGGAAUCUAGGGACCGGGAGAGGUAAGAGGUACUUCAGGGGUAGAAGUGAAAUUCUGUAAUCCUUGAGGGACCACCGAUGGCGAAGGCAUCUUACCAGAACGGCUUCGACAGUGAGGAACGAAAGCUGGGGGAGCGAACGGGAUUAGAUACCCCGGUAGUCCCAGCCGUAAACUAUGCGCGUUAGGUGUGCCUGUAACUACGAGUUACCGGGGUGCCGAAGUGAAAACGUGAAACGUGCCGCCUGGGAAGUACGGUCGCAAGGCUGAAACUUAAAGGAAUUGGCGGGGGAGCACCACAACGGGUGGAGCCUGCGGUUUAAUUGGAUUCAACGCCGGG
rnacentral:rRNA from 1 species